UGAAUCUGGUACGGCCUGGGCAUUCUUCCGUGGGGCAUGGCUGCGCUUUGCUGUGUGGCAUGUUUCCCUGGACAGUUACUUUGAGGAAAUUAGAGUGUUUCAAGCAGGCUCAUGCUUCGAAUACAUUAGCAUGGAAUAAUGGGACAGGCUUCUGCUGUAUUUUUGUGGGUUUCUAACGCUGAAGGAAUGUUUAACGGGGACAGCUGGGGGCAUUGGUAUUUUACUGCUAGAGGUGAAAUUCUUGGAUUU
rnacentral:rRNA from 1 species